rnacentral:lncRNA from 1 species
CCAAACAACCCUACCCCCCAAAGACCGUCUCAGAACCCCUCAUCUCUCUCUCUCUAUACCUCCGCUCCCUUAUGCCCAGAACCACCGUCGAAAAUCCAUAACGGCGGCGGACGGUCUCCAAACACCACCAAAUUUUCACCACAAACUCCCCUCACCUUCCUCAUCCUCAAUCCCUCAUCUAUUUUCUUAAUAAACCACCCGAGUUCCAAGAUUAGUGGAUCUAAAAUCUCAGAAAAACCUAGAUUUUUCCCCUUUUGAUUUCUUGAGUGAUUGCUAUUCGUUUUGGCUCGAAACCCACGUGAAUAGAUUGCUUUUGACAAGAGCAAUCGAUUUACAUUAGUUUUGAUUCAUUUCGAGAUCGUCUGGAGUCCGGCCAAGUCGUUGUUGACCGACCAGAUUUCAUUAUUCCCUGUUGCUUGUCGGAGAUCAUCUCGUCGUCUCAUUCACUGGAAUUUUCUUGCUAAACACUUGAUAUACUUCCCUUCUCUUCUCUGUAAUUUCAUCUACUUGCCGCAUCUUCUUGAUUUCUGUCCUAGCAAGCUUAGUCAGUAGUUUGGAUUAAUUAGUGGUUAAUUCACUUAGUGUUUAAUUGCAUUAUUUAAUCAGUAGAAUCACUGAUUUGAACUUGUUUUAGAGAAUGAUCAUUUUUAUUUUGAUCUUGCAUUCCAUAUGUGUUUUUUCGGUUUGGAUUUAGCUUCAUAGGAAUUUGAUCUACUUUAUUGGAUAACAAGCCCGUUAAUCUCAGACUGAUGAGGAAGGGAAGAACAUGGACUAGGUUCAUGGCUUUGAAAGCCCAGAUGUUCAAUAGUAAAUUGCUGUAGGUUAGAGGGGUACUAUAGGAUUUGGACUCAAGAGAAUCUCUGAGUAACUGACUAGAGGCUUCUAGAAGAGCUGAUAGGGACAUGAAUAACAAUAAAGAAAAGAAAGGGGUCGAGGGUGAGCAGGUAAUUACAGAAAAGAAAAAGGAUUUAAAGAAAGGGAAAUAACAGAAAAGGCAGCUGAGAAUCUUCUAUAAAACACAUUCUUCAUCCUCACACAAUUCACACAUUCACUCUCACCCUCGCUCAUCUCACUCACACCUUUACCCACACCUUUAGACACUCAUCGGAAGCAACUUGCAAUUUAAGAAAAAUCCAAAAUCUGCAGAACCACAAGCUUCAAAAAACCAGGAAAAAAAAGGAUUUCAAAAUCCACUUUGAAUUCCAUUGCACUGUUCUAUUAGUUUUCUGAAUUCUUGCUGGAUUUGAGAUUGGAUUCGAAGUUGUUUUGUUGUUUCUACUGUUGUGUUUUGCUGUUUAGUAGCUUGGAUUCAUCUUUAGCUUCCUUGACCUUCACGGAGACUGAUUCUGUUAUUUUUUCCUGCAAUUAGGUAUGUGAUACUUUACCUGUGACUGCCAUCGAAAUAUAUAGAUGAAGAUCUGAAUUGUUCAUGUUGUAUCUAUGCUUAAAUCUUCUGUAUUCAUUAUGUUUGACCUCCAGAUUUGUCGAUACUUGUUUUUUAUUGAGAAUUGAGAUUAAUUAUUUGUCUAAAUUAAAAUUUUGAUUCAAUAUUGUUCCCUGACUGUGCCUAAUUACUCUCUGAACAACGAACUAAUUUCAUGAGGCAUUUGAGGAUUAAAAUUACUUAGAUCGAUGCACAGGUUUAUGAGGAUAGCAUGUUAAAGCACAAAUGCCAGAUGGCUACUUGUUGAGCUAGUUUGCAGAUCAAGUCAUUUAGUCUUAUUUAACUAGUCCUAGGUGUUCGACCGUGGUAAUUUGAAAUCUGCUUAGUUUAGAAUUUGAAGGCAAGUAUAAAUGUCAUGAUGAUUAUUGUAUCUGAUUUCUAUUUCUGUGUAUGUAAAACAAAAGUUAGUGAUGAAUCUGUCAAAUUCUGAGUAAUGGUUAUUAAAACUAGUGGUCACAAUUGUAACUGGAACGAUUGUCUAGACUGAUAGGACCUGUGUUUUUUGGGUUCGAAAUUGAAAACCUGGAGCCCAAUACUCUGGUCAUUCAAUGGUACAAGAGUCAAUUGGACUCUACAUCUACAAGGCCCAACAAUUUCUAGGCCCAUAUAGGACCUGUUGGUCCAUUGAAAAGGCUGAUCACUCUAAGAGCCAUAUUUUUGGGCUUUAAUUGACCCAUUUCUAUCUUACUAGACCCAUGGGAGGUCUGGUAUAACUUCCUAACUAUCACAACCCCAAAACCCAACCUGUCGUGAUGGCGCCUAUCAUGGUACUAGGCAAGUCGACUACUCAGACAAUUCCAACACUUUCAACUUUGAAAUAUACUAAAACAAUUUAUAUAAAUAGAAAUCUCAUAAAACGGGGUAGAAUAUCAUAACUCAAUACAUAAGUUUUUUCCAAAACUG